AAUGGUCCUCGGUAGUGGUUUCCGCGCACGACAUCCUUACUAAGGAAACAAGUCGCGUGAACUUCGAUCGAAGAUUCAUU
ncrna:unclassified sequences Actino-pnp RNA